GGCCUUAUAGCUCAAUCGGUAGAGCGGUGCGCUGUUAACGCAAAGGUUAUAGGUUCAAGUCCUAUUGGGGUCG
rnacentral:tRNA from 1 species